UAGGGAAUCUUCCGCAAUGGACGCAAGUCUGACGGAGCAACGCCGCGUGAGUGAAGAAGGAUUUCGGUUCGUAAAACUCUGUUGUUAGAGAAGAACAGCGCAUAGAGUAACUGUUAUGCGUGUGACGGUAUCUAACCAGAAAGCCACGGCUAACUACGUGCCAGCAGCCGCGGCAAUACGUAGGUGGCAAGCGUUGUCCGGAUUUAUUGGGCGUAAAGCGAGCGCAGGCGGGCAAUUAAGUCUGAUGUGAAAGUCCCCGGCUCAACCGGGGAGGGUCAUUGGAAACUGGUUGACUUGAGUGCAGAAGAGGAGAGUGAAAUUCCAUGUGUAGCGGUGAAAUGCGUAGAUAUAUGGAGGAACACCAGUGGCGAAGGCGACUCUCUGGUCUGUAACUGACGCUGGGGCUCGAAAGCGUGGGUAGCAAACAGG
rnacentral:rRNA from 1 species